CUGACUUCAACUUUGACGCUGCCGGGAUAUUUUUUAGACAAAGUGCACGUAUUAGUAGUCAGCCGAAACCACUAAGCGUUUUGCAUCCAUACGUUUUUUUUUCGGGAUACUGACUGCAUAGAAAACUAUCAAUGUACUAGUUAAUGUUCUCGAGGGAUGACCCUAUUACAGAGACAUAUAUACACAUAUGUGUAAAUAUGUCUCUGCCCUAUUACGUGUCAGUAACCUCCUCGACACGGUUCAUUUUUACGGCGGCUCAGUUUUGUCUUAAGAAUAAACAUAAUUGAUAAGUUUCUUUCCCCUGCAUUUCUCGAUCGCACUUGUAAAUAGCACAUUGGUCUCAAGACAUUGGUUACAACACUUGCCGUCAGUACUCAAAAUUGGAAAAAUAUUAAAUAAGAAGGUUGCCAGCAAGAUGAAAAGAACAAUGCAGUUCAAAAGUCAAAAUGUGGAUAAGCUGCGGUACAAGGUCCUACUUUUGCAGAUUUUCAUAUUUUGCAUGAAUGAAUUUGAAGUUUAUAUCCUGGAGGGCAGAGAAAGAAAAGAAACACUUCAGUUUUCCUGCUUCUGAAGGAUAAAUGUAAAACAUCUUGUUUGGUAAGUUUUAUGCUCUGUUAUGAUAGUGUUUGUGCAUCCAUCUGUCUUUCUCUAAAUUGUAUUCACUUUA